rnacentral:rRNA from 1 species
AUUGAACGCUGGCGGCAGGCUUAACACAUGCAAGUCGAGCGGGGUGAUGGUGCUUGCACUAUCACUUAGCGGCGGACGGGUGAGUAAUGCUUAGGAAUCUGCCUAUUAGUGGGGGACAACGUCUCGAAAGGGAUGCUAAUACCGCAUACGUCCUACGGGAGAAAGCAGGGGAUCACUUGUGACCUUGCGCUAAUAGAUGAGCCUAAGUCGGAUUAGCUAGUUGGUGGGGUAAAGGCCUACCAAGGCGACGAUCUGUAGCGGGUCUGAGAGGAUGAUCCGCCACACUGGGACUGAGACACGGCCCAGACUCCUACGGGAGGCAGCAGUGGGGAAUAUUGGACAAUGGGGGGAACCCUGAUCUAGCCAUGCCGCGUGUGUGAAGAAGGCCUUAUGGUUGUAAAGCACUUUAAGCGAGGAGGAGGCUCUUUUGGUUAAUACCCAAGAUGAGUGGACGUUACUCGCAGAAUAAGCACCGGCUAACUCUGUGCCAGCAGCCGCAGUAA